rnacentral:misc_RNA from 1 species
GAUGAAGAACGUAGCGAAAUGCGAUAAGUAAUGCGAAUUGCAGAAUUUCCGUGAAUCAUCGAAUCUUUGAACGCACAUUGCGCCCUCUGGUAUUCCGGGGGGCAUGCCUGUUCGAGCGUCAUUGCAACCCCUCAAGCACAGCUUGUGUGUUGGGCUCUCGUCCCCCGUGGACGGGCCUGAAAUGCAGUGGCAGCACCGAGAUACCGGUGUCUGAGUGUAUGGGCAUUGAUCAUCACUCGAUAGACCCGAUCGGCGCUGACCGUCAAACCACGAUUCCUCGGAAUCAUCCAGUUUUGACCUCGGAUCAGGUAGGAAUACCCGCUGAACUUAAGCAUAUCAAUAAGCGGAGGA